UACGUAGGGUGCAAGCGUUGUCCGGAAUUAUUGGGCGUAAAGAGCUCGUAGGCGGUUUGUCGCGUCGGGAGUGAAAACUCAGGGCUCAACCCUGAGCGUGCUUCCGAUACGGGCAGACUAGAGGUAUGCAGGGGAGAACGGAAUUCCUGGUGUAGCGGUGGAAGUGCGCAGAUAUCAGGAGGAACACCGGUGGCGAAGGCGGUUCUCUGGGCAUUACCUGACGCUGAGGAGCGAAAGCAUGGGGAGCGAACAGG
rnacentral:rRNA from 1 species